AGAGUUUGAUCCUGGCUCAGGACGAACGCUGGCGGCGUGCCUAAUACAUGCAAGUCGAACGAAACUUUCUUACACCGAAUGCUUGCAUUCACCGUAAGAAGUUGAGUGGCGGACGGGUGAGUAACACGUGGGUAACCUGCCUAAAAGAAGGGGAUAACACUUGGAAACAGGUGCUAAUACCGUAUAUCUCUAAGGAUCGCAUGAUCCUUAGAUGAAAGAUGGUUCUGCUAUCGCUUUUAGAUGGACCCGCGGCGUAUUAACUAGUUGGUGGGGUAACGGCCUACCAAGGUGAUGAUACGUAGCCGAACUGAGAGGUUGAUCGGCCACAUUGGGACUGAGACACGGCCCAAACUCCUACGGGAGGCAGCAGUAGGGAAUCUUCCACAAUGGACGCAAGUCUGAUGGAGCAACGCCGCGUGAGUGAAGAAGGUCUUCGGAUCGUAAAACUCUGUUGUUAGAGAAGAACACGAGUGAGAGUAACUGUUCAUUCGAUGACGGUAUCUAACCAGCAAGUCACGGCUAACUACGUGCCAGCAGCCGCGGUAAUACGUAGGUGGCAAGCGUUGUCCGGAUUUAUUGGGCGUAAAGGGAACGCAGGCGGUCUUUUAAGUCUGAUGUGAAAGCCUUCGGCUUAACCGGAGUAGUGCAUUGGAAACUGGAAGACUUGAGUGCAGAAGAGGAGAGUGGAACUCCAUGUGUAGCGGUGAAAUGCGUAGAUAUAUGGAAGAACACCAGUGGCGAAAGCGGCUCUCUGGUCUGUAACUGACGCUGAGGUUCGAAAGCGUGGGUAGCAAACAGGAUUAGAUACCCUGGUAGUCC
rnacentral:rRNA from 1 species